rnacentral:piRNA from 4 species
UCUGAUACGUCCUCUAUCCGAGGA